rnacentral:rRNA from 1 species
GACGAACGCUGGCGGCGUGCCUAAUACAUGCAAGUAGAACGCACAGUUUAUACCGUAGCUUGCUCCACCAUAGACUGUGAGUUGCGAACGGGUGAGUAACGCGUAGGUAACCUGCCUGGUAGCGGGGGAUAACUAUUGGAAACGAUAGCUAAUACCGCAUAAUAUUGAUUAUUGCAUGAUAAUUGAUUGAAAGAUGCUAUUGCAUCACUACCAGAUGGACCUGCGUUGUAUUAGCUAGUAGGUGAGGUAACGGCUCACCUAGGCGACGAUACAUAGCCGACCUGAGAGGGUGAUCGGCCACACUGGGACUGAGACACGGCCCAGACUCCUACGGGAGGCAGCAGUAGGGAAUCUUCGGCAAUGGACGAAAGUCUGACCGAGCAACGCCGCGUGAGUGAAGAAGGUUUUCGGAUCGUAAAGCUCUGUUGUAAGGGAAGAACGGGUGUGAGAGUGGAAAGUUCACACUGUGACGGUAUCUUACCAGAAAGGGACGGCUAACUACGUG